rnacentral:rRNA from 1 species
AGUGAACGCUGGCGGUAGGCCUAACACAUGCAAGUCGAACGGCAGCACAGUAAGAGCUUGCUCUUACGGGUGGCGAGUGGCGGACGGGUGAGGAAUACAUCGGAAUCUACUUUUUCGUGGGGGAUAACGUAGGGAAACUUACGCUAAUACCGCAUACUACCUACGGGUGAAAGCAGGGGAUCUUCGGACCUUGCGCGAUUGAAUGAGCCGAUGUCGGAUUAGCUAGUCGGCGGGGUAAAGGCCCACCAAGGCGACGAUCCGUAGCUGGUCUGAGAGGAUGAUCAGCCACACUGGAACUGAGACACGGUCCAGACUCCUACGGGAGGCAGCAGUGGGGAAUAUUGGACAAUGGGCGCGAGCCUGAUCCAGCCAUACCGCGUGGGUGAAGAAGGCCUUCGGGUUGUAAAGCCCUUUUGUUGGGAAAGAAAAGCAGCAGGUUAAUACCCCGCUGUUCUGACGGUACCCAAAGAAUAAGCACCGGCUAACUUCGUG